UUGUUUGCUGUACUGUGAGGAAGAAGGAGUCAGGAACUGUUGUGAGGAACUACCCAUGAGAAAUCACCAAGAAGGAAAACUCUCCUACAAGGUGUGGAGGAGACAGUCACUGGCUAAAAUCUGAGUCAUCUUUCCCACACAUCGCUGAGCUGAAUCACUCUGCAAAACACAUUGAAAAGAUUUGGCUUCCUCUGGCAUGCAGGGUCUAUUGAUUUGAAAAUCACCUUAUCAGCAGCAGAUACAAGUGAAAAAUUAAAUCAGACCUCUAUUUCUGCUUGGAUGACUUAUAGAAUAUUCCUCCUACCAGGCUUUGGCUGUGGCAGAUGUUGAAAUCUCCUCUGUGUGCAGAAGCUGAGAGUUCCCCUUUCCAGGUUGUCAUGGUUCUUGUAAGAAAACAACUGAUCCUGUUCCUACUGCAAAUUGCUGUGGGACCAUUUGGGGCAAGCCAGCCUCCUCAUCUGAGAUCAGAUAGAACUAAAUAAACCGGGCCUCAGACUCUGGGGACCCUGAAUCCAAAUUUGUGUACUAUGGGAAAAUGAGAAAUCAUCAGGCAGAUGCAGUUUUAUCCCACCACUAUCUCCAGUCUCAGUCAUACCCAGCAACUUCUCAAUUCCCUGUACUGAGAUCUUCAGUAAGAGCCAUCACUAUGCCACAGGAAUGGACCAGGAAAAAUGGAGAGUUCUCACUAGCA